UGCCAGCCGCCGCGGUAAUACGGAGGGUGCGAGCGUUAAUCGGAAUUACUGGGCGUAAAGCGCAUGCAGGUGGUUCGUUAAGUCAGAUGUGAAAGCCCGGGGCUCAACCUCGGAAUAGCAUUUGAAACUGUCGGACUAGAGUACUGUAGAGGGGGGUAGAAUUUCAGGUGUAGCGGUGAAAUGCGUAGAGAUCUGAAGGAACAUCAGUGGCGAAGGCGACCUCCUGGACUGAUAUUGACACUGAGGUGCGAAAGCGUGGGGAGCAAACAGGAUUAGAUA
rnacentral:rRNA from 1 species